GUGAAUAGUGCAUGGCAAAGGAGACAAUAAGUGAAAAUACCAAAGUAUCUUUAUUUUUAGUUGUGUUAAAUUUUAAAAGAAGGGUAAAAUGAUAAUGUUGGUGGACAUUGAUUUUCAUAGGUUGGAUAUUUGAUUUUUUUUUGUGCUCUAAUAUGAUAUUUCCAACACCCUUACUCAUGUCUAAAACUAAAUAUUUGGAGUAUAACACUAAAGAUCUGAUAGUAUGUA
rnacentral:lncRNA from 1 species